GCUGGAUCUGGACAAGUAUAUGGAGAUAGCGCGGCAGUGCAAGUACCUUCUCGUGAACAACCUGAAGGUGAGCCGGGCCGGAGGCCGUCCAGCUUGCGAGGCAAGCGCCCUCCGGCUGUGAGGCUCCCUACGGGCGCCCGAUCCUGUCGCGGCGGAGGGCACUCCGCGGUGUGAGAGAACCGGGUCGGACGCGGCGUGACGCGGAGAACCAGGGGAACCCGAAUUCCCCGAAUGCUGUCCAGUUUUCUGAGGGGAGAUCCGGGGAAUGUCACGAUCCCCUGGUCCCCACGGGACUCCGAGCUUACAGACUCAUUCUAAUUCGCUCGGUCUCCCGGAGACGGAGCCCAGCGGCUAGGGUAGUGCUCCCGGGAUGGGUCCUCCCUGCAGAGGUAACAGGAGCUGCUGUCUGCUCCAGGGACGCGCGCGGCCCGUGUGUGCUUAAGUUCCUGAGAGGUGGGAAGCCGGUGGGCGGGAAUCGAUGCUACCACAAUGGGAGAGAAUGACAAGUCGCCUCUGCUUCACCACUCCCCUAAAUUGCUUCCUAGGAGUGGAAUUUUUUCCUGAUAGAUUGGAUCCUAUUUCUUAGCACGUCGCUGAGCUAUUUAAAUAAGCAGUUGCUUAUCAAGAAGUUCUGAGCUAUCCCCCUUGUAACUCAAGGUGUCAUUUUCUUCGCUUUCCAAAGUAGGUCUCACUCAGUUAAAGUAGCCUGGCGGCGGUGGCACACGUCUUUAAUUUCAAGAGUCAGCAGGCGUAUCUAAACUACAGAUGAGUUCCAGGACAGCCAAGGCUAUACAUAGAAACCCUGUCUCAAAACCCCACCUUCCCGAAAGAAAAAGACAAAAUAAAACGAGUGUUAAAGG
rnacentral:lncRNA from 1 species